GUGGGGAAUUUUGGACAAUGGGCGCAAGCCUGAUCCAGCAAUGCCGCGUGCAGGAUGAAGGCCUUCGGGUUGUAAACUGCUUUUGUACGGAACGAAAAGCCCUGGGUUAAUACCCUGGGGUCAUGACGGUACCGUAAGAAUAAGCACCGGCUAACUACGUGCCAGCAGCCGCGGUAAUACGUAGGGUGCGAGCGUUAAUCGGAAUUACUGGGCGUAAAGCGUGCGCAGGCGGUUUUGUAAGACAGAGGUGAAAUCCCCGGGCUCAACCUAGGAACUGCCUUUGUGACUGCAAGGCUAGAGUACGGCAGAGGGGGAUGGAAUUCCGCGUGUAGCAGUGAAAUGCGUAGAUAUGCGGAGGAACACCGAUGGCGAAGGCAAUCCCCUGGGCCUGUACUGACGCUCAUGCACGAAAGCGUGGGGAGCAAACAGGAUUAGAAACCCCAGUAGUCC
rnacentral:rRNA from 1 species